AUGACUCCAAUAAAUUUAGUGGUUUCUUUGGAAAACUGUAAUGGUUUUAGUGGGUAGGCUACUGCUGAAAAAAAUGAACACACAAACAAUAGAAACCAUUACAAAAUUUGUAAUGGUUUUAAUGGUUAUAAUGGGAAUUAUGUUGGUUUUAAUGGUGACAGUAAUGGUCCCUGUGGGUCUCUAUUGGUAAAUUGAUUUCUUCUAUUGGUGGCAUGUAUUGUCUUGGAUUGCCACCAUACGUCAUUUGGAAAGGUUAUUUUUAAUUCAUUUAAUUUUUUUUUUUUUUUUUUUUUUUUUAAUCAACUCGUCAUGGCCUUCAAAAUUGACUUGAAAGUUGGUCUUUGUUUUGUCUGUCGGAUUUGGUCCAAAUUUAGCCCAAAAAUAGAUGUGAAAUAACAGUGAAAUUCUGCGUGACUUCCACGUGCUGUAAUGUGCGCGCGCGCAGAACUGGAGCGGAGGACGUCACCAUGGAAACGAGGCGGCAGCCCAACCGUCAAGCAGCUGAUCGCUGACACUCAAUGUGGUUUCACUUUUUUUUUUAGGUAAGUUUAGUCUAUUAAAUUACAUAAAUAGUACAUUAAAGUGUUCCUGACACUUUAUUUCAUGUAAAUUAUACGCUUUCGUUUAAUAUUUACUUUAUAGAAAUGGUUUAGCGUCGUCAGAAAAGUCCGUUAGCAUCUCAAAGAAGUGCCAGAAAACCUAUGACACAGGAGAUGUUCCUGAUUUUAACAUUUCUGAAGGGAGCUGCUGACAGAGAGGAUGAAAACAUACACAUUUUGAUGUCCACGCUGUACGAGCAUUACUAAAUAAGUUCUUCCAUGCUGAUGGCUGUGCUCUAGUCAUAUCUCCUGUCGAAGAACAUUUUUAGACAUUAUGAACCAUGAAUAAGUUUAGCUCCAACCCCAGUUAAGCAGACCUGAGCAGCUGAUCAAGGAUCAGCAGAAACUCUGCAGAACAUUGGUCCUUCAGCCCAGGACUGGACACCAGUGUUAGUGUCUGUCUCAGAAGCUGAAGAAAAAAGGCCACACCUUAUAGGAAAUAAACGCCUUCUAAGUGUACGGAAAUACCUGGCUGAGGAGAUCAGUGACAUAAACCAGAUAAAACUGCCAGUGGUAAGUGUUUACAUAUCCAUAUCCGAAUGGAAUUGCUACAACCUCUUAUCUAAUAUGACUCGAAGUCUGAGACAGCUACAAGCCACAAAAACAGUUCAUAGUUCCUGCAUUUCUAUUAAUGCGUUAAUGAAUAACAAUAAUUAAAAUAAAAUGUAAUGUCAAGGUUUUGUGUUAAUUCCAGCUAUGUUGAGUAUUCUGUGAAUAAUUUUGAUUUUAGGUGCAUAUUCUUAAUUCUUUGCAAAACAACCUGAACUGUUUGCUAUUGAAAGGUUGGUAUGAAGUUUAAAUAAAUAAAAAAAUUAUAUUCUUGACAAAACUUGUGUACAGUUUGUAUUAAUAAUUUAAAUUAUUUACUUAUAUUAAUUAAUGGCCUAAUUACCAGCUAUCAGUUAAACAUUCAAAUCAGAACCAAUAUAAAACUGCAACGAAAACUAUUAAAUAUAUGCAAAUAAAGAUCAGUACAAACUUGCAAUGGAACCAUCAGAACCAUUACAAAACUGACGGAAACCAUUAAAUUUGUUUUAAUAAAGACCAGUACAAACUUGUAAUGGAACCAUCAGAACCAUUACAAAACCAACGGAAACCAUUAAAUUUGUUUUUAUAAAGACCAAUACAAACUUGUAAUGGAACCAUCAGAACCAUUACAAAACCAACAGAAACCAUUAAAUUUGUUUUAAUAAAGACCAAUACAGACUUGUAAUGGAACCAUCAGAACCAUUACAAAACCAACAGAAACCAUUAAAUUUGUUUUAAUAAAGACCAAUACAAACUUGUAAUGGAACCAUCAGAACCAUUACAAAACCAACAGAAACCAUUAAAUUUGUUUUAAUAAAGACCAAUACAAACUUGUAAUGGAACCAUCAGAACCAUUACAAAACCAACGGAAACCAUUAAAUUUGUUUUAAUAAAGACCAAUACAAACUUGUAAUGGAACCAUCAGGACCAAUACAAAACUGUGAUGGAAACCAUUAUGUGCAAAUCGUGACCAAUACAAACUUGUAAUGGAAACCAAUACAAACCAAUAAAUCCUAAUGGAAUAUGCCCAAAACACACUACGUAAUGGAAACCAUUUGGUAAUGGUUUUAAUGGUUAAUUGCUGAUGGUUUGUAAUGGUUUUGUAAUGGAAACCAUUAGAAUUUCUGUAAUGGUUUCUAUUGUUUUUUUCAGCAGGGAGAACUAACGUUGGAAUGUAUAAUAUCAGAGAAAUUCAAAAUAUGCCUACUAAUAAGGACAAGACUAAUUGAUUGAUUGAUUGAUUGAUUGAUUGAACAUCGUGAACAUUUCGAUCCCAUGUCAAAUUGUGUAUUUUAUAAAUUUUGAAUUUUAUUCCAACUUCGGUGUCGUAU